UUACAUUACAAAUAAAAUUUUUUCCAUUACAUCACAAAAUAUAUAUAAAAAAUCUAUCUAAAUUCUCCAAAGUUGUCCAAAAUAUCUGAAAUGAGCAGUAUAUAUCCAAAAUAGCUGCACAUCAAAAGAUCUCAAGAAGACCAAUACAUGUUUAAAACCUGCAAAUGAAAUCUGUUAAAAAAAAAAAACAAAAAUCUGCAAAUGAAAUCUGUUAAAAAAAAAAAACAAAAACCUGCAAAUGAAAUCUGUAAAA
rnacentral:lncRNA from 1 species